rnacentral:sRNA from 1 species
GCCGGGUAUGGUGGUGCACACCUGUAAUCCUAGCGGCUUGGGAGGCUGAGGCAAGAGGAUUGCAAGUUCAAAGCCAGCCUCAGCAAAAAAGCGAGGCUGUAAGCAACUUGGUGAGACCCUGUCUCUA